AAGAGACCCCAGAGAGCUGCCUCACCUCUUCUACCACAUAGCGAGAAGGCGCUGUCUCUGAGGAAGGAGCCUUCACCUGGCCAGACAACACGUCUUCUGGUGCCUUGAUCUUGGACUUCCCAGCCUGUAGAACUGUUAAUUCUCCUGUGGAUCCUUGGCUGAGGAAAGCUGUGAUGAGAAAGCCCUGGGAACUGAAUUAGGUCUUCUGAGACUUCUGAGCCAGUCAUUCAUUCAACAGAAAAUUAUUUACCACUUCUCUAUGACAAGGUACUGUGGGAGGCUAUGGAUGAAGGAUUCCUACCCUGGAGAGGUGAAUAGCACCAUAGGCAUUGCUAACGUCAAGUUUGCGCACGCUAUCAGAGGGGAAGAGAAAGAAUUUCCAGUUCUCAGUGUAUGGUGAGACAGAUCCUGCUUUCAGUUCAUCCUUGGUGAAUGCUAGUCAAAAUUCUAUGUGAUGUCACAACAGAAAUCUUCAGUUAACAGUCGUGGAAAGGACUCAAGCUCUACUCCAUCUCCACCUCCUUGGGUUUGGGUAAAUUCUCAGCAGGAUUGUGCAUUAGGUGAGUGUCUGCUUCUCCCCUGGGUCCCCAUAACUUUGCUUGCUCCUAAACAGGGAGUCACAUCUGGGAAGAGACAGUAGAUAAUGGAGCCAGAGAGCUGACUCACCACGUGGGAUGGCUGUGGGCAAGUUUCCCAGGUUGCACAAGCCACCGGGUUUUCUGAAACAGAUGGAAAGACCGCCUCUGCAGGCCGCUGGCUGACUUCAAGAUAGUCGUGCUGUAUCAAGUGGUGUGAGAAGGAAAGACCCAUAAGAGACUUUGUCAUCCAAGUUUCAGAUUCCCCUGGAUUCCUUAGCGAUAAGACAUGCAUGGCUCAUUACAUAUUCUAUUUAUGAAAUUUCUACGGGCAAAGACUCGAAUGCCCUUUAACUGGGUGCGCACAUGGGCAUCGCAUAGUUUUCCAGAGUAACCCAAGAUACUGGGGUGGAGAGAAAAAUGGAACCAGAAGACAAGCCAGCUUCUACCAAAGCCACCCAGCAGUCAGCCAGCCCAGACUCUCAAAUCUGGACCUGGGGGUCAGCCCUAGGUAGACAGGCAAGCCAUCUUUCAAAGGCUCCCAUGUCCUCUUAAUAAAGUGAGAGCCAGACAUUA
rnacentral:lncRNA from 1 species